ensembl:snRNA U2 U2 spliceosomal RNA
AUUGCUUUUCUUCCUUUUGGGUAAGAUCAAGUGUAGUAUCUGUUCUUCUCAGUUUAAUAGCUGAUACAUCUCCUACUCAGGGACCAUAUAUUAAAUUAAGCGAUUUCCCCAU